GUACUGAUGAAGAGUCCCAAACUAGGACGAAAAAUCUGUCCAGUAC
rnacentral:hammerhead_ribozyme from 1 species